rnacentral:rRNA from 1 species
GAUGAACGCUAGCGGCAGGCUUAAUACAUGCAAGUCGAGGGGCAGCACAGGUAGCAAUACUGGGUGGUAACCGGCAAACGGGUGCGGAACACGUACACAACCUUCCUUUAAGUGGGGGAUAGCCCAGAGAAAUUUGGAUUAAUACCCCGUAAUAUAGUUGAAUGGCAUCAUUUGAUUAUUAUAGCUACGGCGCUUAAUGAUGGGUGUGCGGCUGAUUAGAUAGUUGGCGGGGUAACGGCCGACCAAGUCUACGAUCAGUAGCUGAUGUGAGAGCAUGAUCAGCCACACGGCGACUGAGACACGGGCCCGACUCCUACGGGAGGCAGCAGUAAGGAAUAUUGGUCAAUGGACGCAAGUCUGAACCAGCCAUGCCGCGUGAAGGAUUAAGGUCCUCUGGAUUGUAAACUUCUUUUAUUUGGGACGAAAAAGGGCCUUUCUAGGUCAACUGACGGUACCAGAUGAAUAAGCACCGGCUAACUCCGUGCCAGCAGCCGCCGUAAGAC